GCCGCGGGCUCCGCGCCGGCGCGGGGGAUGCGCGGGGGAUGCUCGGGGCCGCAUCGGGACCCGCAGCGCCCAGCCCACGCCGUGGUUUCCACACCCCCUAUUUCUGGGUAGCCGCGGUUAUGGAGUUCUCUUAAGCCAAGCAGCGCCAGCAUCCCUUGGAAAGUUUUCCCGCCCCAAAGGCAUCGGCAGCUCAGCUGGAGGGCUGGAGCAGAAGAAAGCGUGGCUUGUGCUGCUGAUGGAGCCAGCCUUUCUGGAAUGUGAAUAAGAGCUUUCACUUAAUGCACAUCGCUGCACUGCCUUGAUCACUGCAUUUGAUAAGCCUGCUGAAAUUA